rnacentral:rRNA from 1 species
GACGAACGCUGGCGGCAGGCCUAACCCAUGCAAGUCGAACGAGUGGCGGACGGGUGAGUAAUGUCUGGGAAACUGCCCGAUGGAGGGGGAUAACUACUGGAAACGGUAGCUAAUACCGCAUACCAUCGGAUGUGCCCAGAUGGGAUUAGAUAGUAGGUGGGGUAACGUCUCCCCUAGGGGACGAUCCCUAGCUGGUCUGAGAGGAUGACCAGCCACACUGGAACUGAGACACGGUCCAGACUCCUACGGGAGGCAGCAGUGGGGAAUAUUGCACAAUGGGCGCAAGCCUGAGACAGCAAUGCCGCGAGUAUGAAGAAGUCCUUCGGGUUGUAAAGUACUUUCAGCGAGGAGGCGUUACUCGCAGAAGAAGCAACGGCUAACUCCGUGCCAGCAGCCGCGGUAAUAG